rnacentral:rRNA from 1 species
UACGUAGGGGGCCAGCGUUGUCCGGAAUCAUUGGGCGUAAAGCGCGCGUAGGUGGCGGGACAAGCGUGCGGUGAAAGCCUGGGGCUCAACCCCGGGUCGGCCGUGCGAACUGUUUUGCUUGAGCACUGUAGAGGCAGGCGGAAUUCCGGGUGUAGCGGUGGAAUGCGUAGAGAUCCGGAAGAACACCGGUGGCGAAGGCGGCCUGCUGGGCAGUAGCUGACACUGAGGCGCGAAAGCCAGGGGAGCAAACGGG